rnacentral:rRNA from 1 species
UACGUAGGGUGCAAGCGUUGUCCGGAAUUAUUGGGCGUAAAGAGCUCGUAGGUGGCCUGUCGCGUCGGCUGUGAAAACUCGGGGCUCAACUCCGAGCUUGCAGUCGAUACGGGCAGGCUAGAGUUCGGCAGGGGAGACUGGAAUUCCUGGUGUAGCGGUGAAAUGCGCAGAUAUCAGGAGGAACACCGGUGGCGAAGGCGGGUCUCUGGGCCGAUACUGACGCUGAGACGCGAAAGCGUGGGGAGCGAACCGG